AUCCUUCUGGUUCUAACAAAUGAUGAUUGGUCUUAUCACGAGUAUUCGUGACAUGUGCAGCCAACUUGUUACGCUAUGCACAUUGACCAUCUGAUC